UACGUAGGGUCCGAGCGUUGUCCGGAAUUAUUGGGCGUAAAGCGCGCGCAGGCGGUCCUUUAAGUCUGAUGUGAAAGCCCUGGGCUCAACCUGGGAAUGGCAUUGGAAACUGGCGACCUAGAGUGCGGUAGAGGGCAGUGGAAUUCCCGGUGUAGCAGUGAAAUGCGUAGAGAUCGGGAGGAACAUCUGUGGCGAAGGCGACUGCCUGGACCAGCACUGACACUGAGGCACGAAAGCGUGGGGAGCAAACAGG
rnacentral:rRNA from 1 species